GAGUUUGAUCGUGGCUCAGAGUGAACGCUGGCGGCAGGCCUAACACAUGCAAGUCGAACGGCAGCACAGCAGUAGCAAUACUAUGGGUGGCGAGUGGCGGACGGGUGAGGAAUGCAUCGGAAUCUGCCUAUUUGUGGGGGAUAACGUAGGGAACUUACGCUAAUACCGCAUACGUCCUACGGGAGAAAGUGGGGGACCGCAAGGCCUCACGCAGAUAGAUGAGCCGAUGCCGGAUUAGCUAGUUGGCGGGGUAAAGGCCCACCAAGGCGACGAUCCGUAGCUGGUCUGAGAGGAUGAUCAGCCACACUGGAACUGAGACACGGUCCAGACUCCUACGGGGGGCGAGC
rnacentral:rRNA from 1 species